rfam:Ovis aries breed Texel chromosome 13, whole genome shotgun sequence.
UCUGUAGUAGCUUAGAUGGUAAAGAAUCUGCCUGCAAUGCAGGAGACCUGGGUUUGAUCCCUGGGCUGUGGAA